AUUAUCUUCCAUUAUGUCGUAGGUAGGGGUAUUAUUCUAAUCAGUGGGAGGGUGGGUAGGUUACUAUAUCAUGAUUAAUUGCCAUUUACAGAUCUGCACUUGUGUAUCAGAUAUGUCAGCUAGCCCCGGUACCCAUACAGUUUUUUUAUAGCAAUAUAUGAACUAGAAUAGAACAUAGGGUCGCCAAUUAGCAACAUUUAACUCCGACCACUAACCCCUGGAAUGGAGCCCACAGAACAGUGCAGUGGAGGAGUGGGCCUUGACAGGGCCAGAGAGUGGGCAGGGAAAAAGGGGUGGGUUUAGGGUAAUGCAGCGUGGGGGUGGUCUAAGGACAGUUUAAAUAGUGGCCAUCUCAGAGAGUGGCCAUUUUAAUCUUAACUUCACUCACCUGUUAAUUGUGACAGGUCUGUGGAGUUCUUCUUUUUGUCAUUUCUGCAGGUCAUGGCGUCGCUGGAAGAAAUACUGGAUGGAGUCCGGGCGGCGGUGAUAGACAGGGGCCUAGCGUGGCUUCAUGGACAGCUGGGAGCAGCUGCCACCCCCCAAGAGGCACCGGACCGGAGGCCGGCGCGGAGGACAAGGCCACCCCAGCGGCUGAGCCCGGGUGUGGCGCAUGCUGCCCGGCGGAGGAGGAGCCCUU